GGCCUCGGGCUUCCCCACCCUCCGGCUCCCCCCACCCCGGCUCCCCGCUCCUUUCCCCACCCGCACCCGAUGACCUCAUGGUGGGGUGGUGGAUUCACCUGGGUGAUGAUAUCAGACGGCAGGUUCCGAAUGAUGAUUUUGCGGCGGUUCCGGAACUCGCGGCGGGUCCGCUGUAGGCGCUGCUCCUUUUCGGCGGCCUCCAGCCUGGGCAGCGUCUCCUCGGGAGUCCGCCGCCGCCGCCGCGGAGCCGCCUCCGACUCACCGACUUCCCCGUCGGCGGUCUCCAGACCCACGGCCUCCCACUGCUCAUCCUCCGCCUCCUCCCGCUUACUCUCCUCGUUUUCACCGUUUUCCCUCAACUCGCUCUCCGGCGCAGUAACGGACACGGUCGCCGCCAUCUUGAAUUAGCAACAGGAUCGACUUUUCUCAUUGGCUGGACGGGUUAAAGCAGCACGUGAUCUCGGCUAGGUGUCCGCACCACGGAGCAAACCGGCGGCUGAUUGGCCCGGUGUCCGUCACUUCCGCAGUUGCCGUGUCUCGCGAGAUGUGAACAGAAGGGUUGGGGGAUGUGACAAGGGUGUUAGAAAAAUCAGGUAGUGGAGAGACAGGAUGACAGAAUUUUCCCCAAUAACAGAAGGGUCAUAGGUUUAAGAUGCUCCCAGACCUGCUGAGCUUUUUCAGCAGUGUUGUGUUUGUACAAAUUCUAUAUGGUUUUGGCAACAUUACAGAAGGUGAGCAGCAGCUACUAUUACUUGGUUCAAAAGGGUCAUUGUCCCUUGUAAGCUUGAUCUCUUCCUCCAUUUGAGUUAAAAUCUCUAGGCUGAACCUAUAAGGAUGUUGUUUUAUGGGUUAUACAUUAUUGACUAUACUAUACUGUAUUAUAUUGUAUACUAUAUUGACAUUAUGCAUAUCCAAAAAUGUUUUACCUGAUCACUGUGCAGAAAUCAACUGCAAUCUGGAAGCUUUUGUAAGUUUUCAACAGUUUUUCUGGAAAUAGCAUAAUAUCCCAAUCAACUUUUUAACCAUCUCGACAAUCAAGCCCCAGAGCAGCACACAAGCAGUAAGUCUCGGUUGGUAACUGGUGUGGGGGAGGCAGUCCUGAAACUUACCUUGGCGCAGCUGAGUGCUGGUAUGGAGUGGACUGGUGGCUAGGAGCGGAGCAGGGAUGGCUGUUGGACGGUGCAGGUAGUCAGGCCACGUGCAGAGGCCCUGUGCUGAGCUGCUACAACGUAAUGUUUGAAUUUUUUUAAACCUGGCUGUAAAGCAAAUCCUUUAACAGUGUCUUAUUUCUAACUUAUUUUCUAAAGAAGUAUUUUAACUUAUUUUCUGUAAAGAAGUACAGUUACGUUUUAUUCCUCUUCUGUAUCCAAGAUUUAUACUUAGCUACUUGUUCCUAAGGUGGCGCCGUAAGAGGCAGACAUUGUAGAAGCUUUUCACUGUACUUCUAUAAUGGAGUACACGUGACAAUAAAGGAUAUUCUGUUCUGCCUGAUCACUUGAGGGUGGGCUUUUGAAUGUUCAAUUUCUGAUUCAUUUUCAAAUUUCACUUCCUAUUUCUUUUAUUGCUGUAAAUACACCUUUCUGCUAAUUACCCUCCUGGUUAUAGAAUUUGAUCAGUGCUAUCUCCCAGAAAAUUAAUGAAAUAACUCACAAAAGCUUUAAGACUUAUAAAUUGACGAAGGUUCUUGAGUAGAUUUGUAAUUGGGUUGUGGAUGCUGUGGUCGGUUCGCUCGUUGAGCUGGUUUGUUACGUUUUUUUUAAACCAGCAGGGUAAUGAAAUGUCUGUGAACUGACCAACCAGCUCAGUGAGCGAACUAACCGUAACUUAUAAAUUGAUUUGUGUAAAUUGGCAAGAAAAACAUCUUUGCCUAUCCAUAAUGUUCUGAUGGUACAAUACAGUUUGUUUUAUUCCCAAACUACUCAUUAUUUAUUUGAAUAUUUGGUGACAUAAAAUUUGAACCUGAAUGUGUUUUCUUUCGUGGUUUAGGGAACAUGGCCAUGACCGAGUUGGCCAGCAUCUGUUGUCCAUCUCUAAUUGCCCUUGAGAAGGUGGUGGUGAGUCUUGAACUAAUGCAGUCUGAGGGUGUAGGAUUACCUACAAUACUGUUAGGGAGGGAGUUCCAGGAUUUUGACCCAGCAACAAUGAAGGAACAGAGAUAUAUUUCCAAGUCAAGAUGGAUCUCGAGGACGCUACAUGCUGACCGCUUCCUGAUGGACUUGUGGUAAAAGGUGUUUUUCUUGGCAAAUUUCUCUCCGAACGACAGGUGGUACAGAUCGGUCCAACUACCUGGAGCAUUCCGUGUCUCCGAGGCCAGUCCCAUCCUUUGUAACACUGGGGACAGGUAGAACCUCAGGGCUCAUGCCACACACUGAUGGAGGGUAUUCUCAAUAUGAAUUUGGGGCUUUGUCUCCACAAGGACUGCGCCAUUUUCCUGCCAGCUAACACCAUUUUGGACAGACUCGUGUUACAGGUGGAUGUGUGAGGAUGAGGUAGAUUUUUUGCCAGUAUUUGUUCCUUCACCAGCUGCUGUAAACCCACUCUAGCAACAUACUUUUGAAUUCUAUCAGUUGUGACGCCAAGUCACUCAAUGAUGCACAUGGAAGCUCCUAAAGUACAUUCUGCACCCUUGCCACUCUCCGUCAUCUUCUUUCAUCUGCUGUUCAACAAGGAGGAUCAUUAAUUCAGCAGAGAUAAUGGGAACUGCAGAUUCUGGCGAAUCCAAGAUAACACAGUGUGGAGCUGGAUGGACACAGCAGGCCAAGCAGCAUCUCGGGAGCACAAAAGCUGACGUUUCAGGCCUAGACCCUUCAUCAGAGAGCUUUAAUUAAAUAAUUAAUUAAUUCAGCAGCUGAUUUCACCCAAUGAAGGAGCAGCGCACCAACAGCUUGUGAAUUCAAAGAUAUCUGUUGGACUAUAACCUGGUGUCGUGUGACUUCUGACCUUAUUGUUUUGGCAUCCUUCUGUUUGCUACCUAAGACCAAUAUCUUUCCACGCCCAGGUUUUCUCUUCCUGUAAAUUCCUUUUGAUUCUUAAAUGACUUUCGUCAUACUGUGGGAGAGAUCAAAACAAACCUUGAGGGUAGCUGGACUUCUUCCAAAUACAUGAUUUCUUAAACAUAUUCAAUUUUUUUUUCUGACUAUGGUGAUCAAAACCGCUUAGCCCACAGCAUUUAUUUGCCGCUUGCAAAUUCUACAAACACAUGAGUAAGUUUUUUUUUAAUGUCCUAAAUUGUAAUUGAUAAGCUUCAGGGACAAGUUUAACAGUGUUGUUAAUGUUUAAUAAUCUACAGAUUACUCUUAUACAAGCUGGUAUACAGAUUUGUAGCUGUACCGAUCAAAAUAUUAAAAAGAUUCAAAUUUC